rnacentral:lncRNA from 1 species
GACUUUCCCAGGGGUGGGGCGGCCCGGCCAGGCCCCCGGCACUUCCUCGUCCUCGGCCCGGGUGCCCUGCCCCCGUCCAGGAGCCCUAGGAGUGCUACGGGGGGCCGGAGCCUUGCCCGGGCCGCUGCCCCGUCCCUGGAUUCGGGGCUGGACGCAGCAAGCGGGGCGCUGUGUCCCCAAGCUCCCCGUCCUCGGGGAGCUUUUGGAAGAGUCCCAGAUGGAAGCGACCAGGCUCCGGCAGAAGGCAGAGGAGCUAGUGAAGGACAACGAGCUGCUCCCACCACCUUCUCCCUCCUUGGGCUCCUUCGACCCCCUGGCUGAGCUCACA